GAGGACACCACACAGACAGGGUGAAGGUGGGAGGACACCACACAGACAGGGGCAAGGUGAGAGGACACCACACAGACAGGGUGAAGGUGAGAGGACACCACACAGACAGGGUGAAGGUGAGAGGACACCACACAGACAGGGUGAAGGUGAGAGGACACCACACAGACAGGGUGAAGGUGAGAGGACACCACACAGACAGGGUGAAGGUGAGAGGACACCACACAGACAGGGUGAAGGUGAGAGGACACCACACAGACAGGGUGAAGGUGGGAGGACACCACACAGACAGGGUGAAGGUGGGAGGACACCACACAGACAGGGUGAAGGUGGGAGGACACCACACAGACAGGGGCAAGGUGAGAGGACACCACACAGACAGGGUGAAGGUGAGAGGACACCACACAGACAGGGUGAAGGUGGGAGGACACCACACAGACAGGGUGAAGGUGGGAGGACACCACACAGACAGGGUGAAGGUGGGAGGACACCACACAGACAGGGUGAAGGUGGGAGGACACCACACAGACAGGGUGAAGGUGGGAGGACACCACACAGACAGGGUGAAGGUGGGAGGACACCACACAGACAGGGUGAAGGUGGGAGGACACCACACAGACAGGGUGAAGGUGGGAGGACACCACACA